rnacentral:rRNA from 1 species
CCUACGGGUGGCUACAGUGGGGAAUAUUGCACAAUGGGGGAAACCCUGAUGCAGCAACGCCGCGUGGGUGAAGGAGCGUUUCGGCGCGUAAAGCCCUGUCAGCGGGGAAGAAGAAAGACGGUACCCGACCAAGAAGCCCCGGCUAACUCCGUGCCAGCAGCCGCGGUAAUACGGAGGAUGCGAGCGUUAUCCGGAUUUAUUGGGUUUAAAGGGUGCGCAGGCGGCGUGUCAAGUCAGCGGUAAAAUGUCGGGGCUCAACCCCGGCCGGCCGUUGAAACUGGCGUGCUCGAGUUGGAGAGAAGUAUGCGGAAUUCGUGGUGUAGCGGUGAAAUGCAUAGAUAUCACGAAGAACCCCGAUUGCGAAGGCAGCAUACCGGCUCCACACUGACGCUGAGGCACGAAAGCGUGGGUAUCGAACAGGAUUAGAUACCCUAGUAGUC